GUGUGCAUGGCUCAGUGGUUAGAGCAUCCCUCUGGAUUGAGGCGGUCAUGGGCCCAAAUCCCAUUGCACACA
rnacentral:tRNA from 1 species